rnacentral:rRNA from 1 species
ACUCCUACGGGAGGCAGCAGUGGGGAAUAUUGCACAAUGGGCGCAAGCCUGAUGCAGCCAUGCCGCGUGUAUGAAGAAGGCCUUCGGGUUGUAAAGUACUUUCAGCAGUGAGGAAGGUGGAGUCGUUAAUAGCGGCCUCAUUUGACGUUAGCUGCAGAAGAAGCACCGGCUAACUCCGUGCCAGCAGCCGCGGUAAUACGGAGGGUGCGAGCGUUAAUCGGAAUUACUGGGCGUAAAGCGCAUGCAGGUGGUUUGUUAAGUCAGAUGUGAAAGCCCGGGGCUCAACCUCGGAAUUGCAUUUGAAACUGGCAGGCUAGAGUCUUGUAGAGGGGGGUAGAAUUUCAGGUGUAGCGGUGAAAUGCGUAGAGAUCCGAAGGAAUACCAGUGGCGAAGGCGGCCCCCUGGACAAAGACUGACGCUCAGAUGCGAAAGCGUGGGGAGCAAACAGGAUUAGAUACCCUGGUAGGAUAGCG